AUUGAACGCUGGCGGAAUGCUUUACACAUGCAAGUCGAACGGUAGAGGGGGGCAACCCCCUUGAGAGUGGCGAACGGGUGAGUAAUAUAUCGGAACGUGCCCAGUCGUGGGGAUAACGUAGCGAAAGUUACGCUAAUACCGCAUACGAUCUAAGGAUGAAAGCGGGGGGAUCGCAAGACCUCGCGCGAUUGGAGCGGCCGAUAUCAGAUUAGGUAGUUGGUGAGGUAAAGGCUCACCAAGCCAACGAUCUGUAGCUGGUCUGAGAGGACGACCAGCCACACUGGAACUGAGACACGGUCCAGACUCCUACGGGAGGCAGCAGUGGGGAAUUUUGGACAAUGGACGCAAGUCUGAUCCAGCCAUUCCGCGUGCAGGAUGAAGGCCCUCGGGUUGUAAACUGCUUUUGUACGGAACGAAAGGUUUGUCGUUAAUACGUAUGAGCUCAUGACGGUACCGUAAG
rnacentral:rRNA from 1 species